rnacentral:tRNA from 1 species
UGCCGAGUGGACGAAUGGCAAGUCGCAUGGCUCUGAACCAUGAGAUUACAGGUUCAAACCCUGUCUCGGCAU